AACUGUACUUAUAUGCUUAUACCCCAAACAGAUGCACACACACAUAUAUAUAUAUACACAUAUAUUUGUGUGUGUAUGUAUGUAUAUAUAAUAUUAAAA
ensembl:miRNA Gm24999 predicted gene, 24999